AAAAACAAAAAACGGGCAGUUCUGCGGUCCCGCGGAUCUGUUUCUUGCUUCAACAGUGUUUGUACAUAACAGAUCCUGGGACUCUUUCUUCCAGCUUCCGACCGCCCUCUGAUUUCCUCUCCACUUGCAACCUCCGGGACCAUCUUCUCGGCCAUCUCCUGCUUCUGGGGACCUGCUAACACCGUUUUUGUGGUUAGCUCCUUUUUGCCGACCAACCACGAGCUCCCAGAUUUGUCAGAAUUCUUCCACCGACGUGGAGGCAGCCGUCAACCGCCUGGUCAAUGCGUACCUGCAGGCCUCCUACACCUACCUCUCUCUGGGUUACUAUUUGGACCGCGAUGAUGUGGCUCUGGAAGGCGUGAGCCACUUCUUCCGCGAAUUGGCCGAGGAGAAGCUCGAGGGCUACGAGCAUCUCCUGAAGAUGCAAAACCAGCGUGGUGGCGGUAUUCUCUUUCAGGACAUUAAGAAGCCGGCUCAAAAUGAGUGGGGUAAAACCCUGGACGCCGUGGAAGCCGCCAUGGCAGGUGCCAUGGCCCUGGAGAAAAAUCUGAACCAGGCCCUUUUGGAUCUUCAUGCCCUGGGUUCUGCCCGCGCAGACCCUCAUCUCUAUGACUUCCUGGAGAGUCACUUCCUAGAUGAAAAUCAUCAAGAAGAUGGGUGACCACCCGACCAACCUCCGCAGGCUGGCCAGCCCACAGGCUGGGCUGGGCGAGCAUCUCUUUGAAAGGCUCAUUCUCAAGCACGAUUAAGAGCCUACUCAGCUCAGCGACUUCUGAAGGGACCUUGCAAAAUAACAGGGCUUCUGCGUGAGCCUCUCCCUCCAGCCACUAGGCAGCUUUCUAACUACCCUAACAAGCCUUGGACCAAAUGGAAAUAAAGCUAUUUGAAGCAAAAAAAAAAAAAAAAAAAAAAA